UACGGAGGGUGCAAGCGUUAUCCGGAUUCACUGGGUUUAAAGGGUGCGUAGGUGGGUUGGUAAGUCAGUGGUGAAAUCCCCGGGCUUAACUCGGGAACUGCCAUUGAUACUAUCAGUCUUGAAUAUUGUGGAGGUUAGCGGAAUAUGUCAUGUAGCGGUGAAAUGCUUAGAUAUGACAUAGAACACCAAUUGCGAAGGCAGCUGGCUACACAUAUAUUGACACUGAGGCACGAAAGCGUGGGGAUCAAACAGG
rnacentral:rRNA from 1 species